rnacentral:lncRNA from 1 species
UAUCAGUGCCUAUUGUUAUCAGAGGCCCAAAAGAGAGGAUGGGGAUUCGCUAUUUAUUUGUGCACUCUCUUUUUCACACUUAAAACUGGUUUCUCCACUGUUCACAAAUUGGUUCUGUACUGUUCAUAAGUAAAUAUUCCUCUAAAUAAAUAUCUCACCAAUUAGAACCCUAAUUCAUUUUGCUCAAUCUUCAGCACUGCAGCCCGUUAGACUCUCCCGCGUCCUCGCCCAUUGCCAUCUCUCAUCCAGCCCGUUAGUGUUUAAUUAAAUUAUGUAUCUAUAGUAUGUUUUUUGUUUCAUCUUCUUGCUGUUAUUCGUUUUUCAAAAAGUUGACAUCAAAUACGAAGAGAACACUGAAAGUUCCGAUGUUAAUGAAGUUAAGGAGAUUAUAUUGCCUCCUACUCCUACGAUAGCCAAACCUCCCGCUGAAGAUGAACAAUCGGAAUCAAUUAUUAAAAUGAUUUAGCUAUGUUUCUAACAUAAAUCAAAGGCUAAUAAAUGGUAAACCUUUUUGGCUUUUUUCUUCAGCCUGACCUAGAAAAGCGCCAGGAUGUUUGUGCCUUCCAAUGCUAGAAUCGUUGGAUUCAAAAAUCUUCUCCCAUUUGCAUUCACAGGUGGAAGUUGACUUUAGAAAUCUUUACAUGCAUUAAACCUUCAUCAAUAACAUCAGUUGCAAUGAUAGAGCUAACUUAUUUCAAUAUAGAACAAAUGCUGUUGAUAUUAAUUUGUUUUUCAACUCAGUUCUUGUCUAUUCAUACGAGCCUCCCUAUGAGGAUUCUGGUCCUACAAAUGUCCACUUAGAUCUCAAGAUCCAAACAAGCCAUGGACAUAUAAGUCUGAUAAUUUGUAUAAACUGCAUUAUAAAAUAAUAUUUAUUGAAAUUGAGAAAUUUUUAAUUUUUGUUUUUUACAUUAUAAAAGCAAAGUUUUUCUUCAUCUUGGGUAAGUUUUUGAAAUGCUUAUGUGUGAAUUUGAAAUAUAAAUAUUAUAAUAUGAAUAGGGUGCUUUUUGAGUUGGAUUUGGAAACUUGAAGAGAUUGGGCCUAUAGACCCUUCUUUGAAUCCUACAAAUUCGACAUGCUUGAGAAAAGCUGAUCUUCUAUUUGUCGUAAGCAUUUAAUUUUUCAUAUAUCCAUAAAAUUAUAAUAUCUUGGUUUUUUUACUUGUUUUUCUAUUUUUUUCUUAUAAGAUAAUCUUGGUGGGGCUGGAUAUAGCUUUAUGGAGCAGAAUGAUAAUAUCUGUUUGAUAGAACUGAUGUAGAAGCUGCAAAUUAUUUAACUACAUUGUUAACAAUUUUUAAUAUAGAUGAGAGCCUCCAAAAGAGUGCACUUUAUUUAGUCCUAUGGAGGAAAAUUUGCUGUCACUCUUGGAUUAUCAGUGCUAAAGGCUAUAGAGGCAGUAAAACUAAAGCACAAUUUUGAAGGUAAUCAUCAUUUUUUUCUCAUUCUUGAAUCUUAGGUUGAUGAAGUUCAGAUACAGAUGUGAAAGAAGGAUCAAAUUUAAUUCUUGAAUUUAAUAAAUUGCUGAGUUCUUAAAUUUUGGUGACGUGUUUGGCACGAAGAAAUGAACUGUUGGAUUUGUGUGUCAGGCAUCAAGGAAGAGGGAAGUUGCUGGCCUUGUGGUUGAUAUAAUACGCCAAAAAGAAGAUGGGUGGACGUGCAUUAUUACUUGUUAGUCCUCUUGAUACUGGGAAAAUAGAUCUCGUCCUUGGAAUAUCCCAAGAAAUUAUUGUGAGGUUGUGUUGGAUGUACUAUUUCCUAUUUCUUGUCAUCAGUGUCUUUCUUCAUUCUACCUCUGUUUUGCUGUGUGCAUAAAUAUUGUCUGUUAUUGAAAAUAUUAGCUUUGAUUUUAUUAUUGAUGUUUGGAUUUUUUUAACUUUUAUAUUAUUUAUAUUAUGAAGGUUCCGUUUUGCCCAACUGGUGAAACUAAUUGUCUUAUGUUUUAACUUAGAAUAUAAAGAAUCUUUAUGAUGAAUGCCAAAUAGAUUCUGAAUUAGAAAUCAAAAAUUAAAGUUGAGUCAUAACAGUGAAAAUCUAUGAAACAUCAGUGUUUGUUUCAAAAGGAAAACUAGUGGAAAAAGGAAGUCUAGAGAAGGGCUAUUUUUCUUAGUGAAAUCAAUACCUUUUGUUGUGCUUAGCUUACGCUCUAAAACUUCUUGAAAGAAUUUCCAUGCUCCCCCAAAAUAUCAAUCAAAG